rnacentral:lncRNA from 1 species
CUUCAAAAUUACAUGCAAUCAAAUAAAUUUUUUUAAUAAUUACGGUAAUUUCUAUUACAACCAAUCAAAUAAAAUGUAUAUAGUUGUAACUUAUAACUGUUGCUUUUCUAAUUACAUACAUCUCUAAGUGUAUUAUAUUUCUAAUUAUAUACAAACAAACGGUCUAUAAUUCAGGAGCAUUUUUCGCAAAAUGCACAAAAAAUCUACAGAUAAAUAAUCAUAUUGAACUAUUAGUGCAACGACCCGACCCGUUAGCAACAAUAACUCGUUGGGCCAAACCACCGGCCAUCAGGACCAUUACCAGACGAUGUGAGAUUCUAGAGGUGGCUCCUACGGGUUCAAGAGGUGGCUCCCACCAAAUCCGUUGGUGUAGCACCUUGUCCCGCAUAGCACUUAGGGUGCGUUUGGUUCGAGUUAUUCUGAUAGGAUUACAGGCAAUUCUGUUGGUUAAUCCGCUAUGUAAUCUAGUCGUUAAUGUAAAAUUACAAAUCGAGUAGGAGUACAUUGAAAAUAUUAAUGGGAGGGGGGUCGUGUAUCUUGCAUUACUGAAACCCGUUAAUAAUAUAUAUUAUGUAAAAUGACAAUUUUAUCCUCCAACAACCCCAAAUCUAAUUAACAGCAUUAUUUUCAUCUCUCUCUCGCCUUCCCCCCUCUCUCUCGCACACCGCUUUCUCUCUCUCAACUGAACCAAACGUAUUAAUGCUAUAAAUACUGUAAUCUAGUAUUACAUUACUGCAGCAUCAGUAGUAAUCUCAUAAACACUGUAAUCUAGUAUUACAUUACUGCAGCAUCAGUAGUAAUCUCACGUCGAAAUCCAAGAUACCUGGAUAUGUCGAUAUACUCGGCUGGUAUUCGGCUCUAAUACCAUUUACAACGACCCGACCCGUUAGUAACAAUAACUCGUUGGGCCAAACCACCGGCCCAAAAUGCUUAAGCCGGAUUAUUAUUACUAGCGUGUAGGUCUCAUAUAAACUGAUCGGAAUUAGUAUCACAUCCGAUGUGGAACUAUUGGAGCGUUACAACUAGAAAAUAAAAAAAAGUUUCAAAAGAAGUACCAAAAUUAAAUAUC